UGAUGACGAGACGCUAAGGCGUUGAAAUGGUGUAUGUCAGACUUCCAAGAAAAGCUCGCAAUGUCAUAGAUAAAAAAUGCCUGUACCAUAACCGACACAGGUGGGUAGGUAGAGUAUACUAAGGGGCGCGAGAUAACUCUCUCUAAGGAACUCGGCAAAAUGACUCCGUAACUUCGGGAGAAGGAGUGCCUUAUUUAUAAGGUUGCAAUAACAAGAUCCAAGCAACUGUUUAUCAAAAACACAGGUCUCCGCUAAGUCGUAAGACGAUGUAUGGGGGCUGACGCCUGCCCAGUGCCAGAAGGUUAAAGAAGUUGGUUAGUGUAAGCGAAGCUGAUAACUGAAGCCCUGGUGAACGGCGGCCGUAACAAUAACGGUCCUAAGGUAGCGAAAUUCCUUGUCGGGUAAGUUCCGACCCGCACGAAAGGCGUAAUGAUUUGGAUACUGUCUCGGAGAGAGGCUCGGUGAAAUAGACUUGUCUGUGAAGAUGCGGACUACCUGCACCAGGACAGAAAGACCCUAUGAAGCUUUACUGUAACUUGAAAUUGGAAUUGGACUUUGCUUGCGCAGUAUAGGUGGGAAGCGUUGAAGAUACUCUUGCGGGACUAUUGGAGCUAUCAGUGAGAUACCACUCUUGUAAUGUUAGAUUUCUAACUUUGAACCAUAAUCUGGUCAAAGAACAGUUUCAGGCGGGCAGUUUGACUGGGGCGGUCGCCUCCUAAAUGGUAACGGAGGCGUACAAAGGUUUCCUCUGAACGGAUAGAAAUCGUAUCUAGAGUGUAAAGGCAUAAGGAAGCUUGACUGUGAGGCCUACAAGUCGAGCAGGGACGAAAGUCGGUCUUAGUGAUCUGACGGUACUGAGUGGAAAGGCCGUCACUCAACGGAUAAAAGUUACUCUAGGGAUAACAGGCUGAUCUCCCCCAAGAGUUCACAUCGACGGGGAGGUUUGGCACCUCGAUGUCGGCUCAUCGCAUCCUGGGGCGGUAGUACGUCCCAAGGGUUGGGCUGUUCGCCCAUGAAAGCGGUACGCGAGCUGGGUUCAGAACGUCGUGAGACAGUUCGGUCCAUAUCCGGUGUAGGCGUUAGAAUAUUGAGAGGAGCUUUCUUUAGUACGAGAGGACCGAGAAGGACACACCGCUGGUGUACCAGUUAUCGUGCCAACGGUAAACGCUGGGUAGCUAUGUGUGGAGAGGAUAACCGCUGAAAGCAUCUAAGUGGGAAGCCCACCUCAAGAUGAGUAUUCUCAUCG
rnacentral:rRNA from 1 species